UUUACUAGCUCCGAAGUAAUGAAAUAUUACCAUUUAUAGGUACAUAUAAUUACAAAACUUAAAAAUGAAUUGAAAUGAAUCUUUGAUAAUAUGUAUAUUUUUAUUUAUACGAUUAAGGUCAGUUGCAGAAUUUAAUAGAAUGGAAGAAACUUGUUAAGUUUAAACUAUACUUUUUAUGUGUCUCAAGAAAGUAUUUAUUUUCCAUUCAAUUGAGUUUUAUUCUUAUAGUAAACUGUUGUGCUCACCUUGAUGUUGAGUAUGGGUCUCAAAUUCAACAAUCGAUAGUCCAUGUGUUUCCUAAUCUAUGUAUCAAACACAUAAUUUAAACAAUCUAAAAAUACUAAAUUUUAUAACUUGACUUGCUUCUUGAUGCCUAAGUUGAAAGCAAGUGACUCACAGUGGUCAAGCUUUUGAACUGUGGAUAUGAAGGCAUUGAUGUGAUGAUCGAGAUAAAGAUAAAAACUGUAAAAUCUCAAACACAUGAUUUAUACAUUAACAAUCUGAUACUUAUUUGUUUAUAUUAAGUUUCUGAUAACUCUAGUCAUACGAGAGUCGCGAGGAACUUAAUAUAAGUAGUCAAGCUAAUGCAUAAAUUGUGUUUGAGAAGCCAUUGUUUUUAGGUUUAUGUCAAUUGUCACAUCAACGCCUUCAUAUAUACAAUCCUUCGAAGUUUCAUCAUUUUGAGUCAUUUCCUUUCAACCACUUAAGCACGUGAAGCAAAUUUAUAAGAUUUAGUAUGUUUGAUUGGUUAAUUGGUGUGUUCGAUAUGCUGUUUGAAUAAAAAGGACUCCAAUUAUUGACUUUGAAAUCCAUCUUCAACAACGUGAAAACUUUAAUUUGAUUAUGAAAAUAAAACUCAAUUAAAAAAAAAGUAAAUCUUUUUUCAAGACAAAAUAAAGUAUAGUCUAGACUUAAAAGGUUCUCUUUUGUUUAUUUGAGAUCUAGCAAUUAGUCUUAACCAUACAAAUAAAAAGAUAAACAUUAUUCGAUAUACGGUCUAGUUCAUUUUAAAUUUUGCGAAUAUAUAAGAUUAGGAUUAGGUGCAGAAAUUUUAAUAGAAUAGAAGAAACUUGUUAAGUCUAAACUAUACUUUUUAUCUGUCUCAAGAAAGUAUUCAUUUUCCAUUCAAUUGAGUUUCAUUCUUAUAGUAGACUGUUGUGCCACCUUGAUGUUGAGGAUGAGUCUCAAAUACAACAAUUGAUAGUCCAUGCGUUUCCUAAUCUGUGUAUCAAACACAUAAUUUAAACAAUCUAAACACACUAAAUUUUAUAACUUGACUUGCUUCUUCAUGCUUAAGUUGUUGAAAGUACGUGACUCACAGUGAUCAAGCUUUUGAACUGUGGAUAUGAAAGCAUUAAUGUGUGAUUUGAACUGUGGAUAUGAAAGCAUUAAUGUGUGAUUGAGAUAAACGUGAAAACAGUAAAAUCUCAAACACACGAUCUGUACAUUAUCAAUCAGAUACUUAUUUAUUUAUAUUAAGUUUCUGACAGCUCUAGUCAUACAAGAGUUGUGAGGAACUUAAUAUAAGAAGUCAAGCUAAUGCAUAAAUUGUGUGUUUGAGAAGCCAUUGUUUUCAGUUUUAUGCCAAUUAUCACAUCAAUACCUUCAUAUAUACGAUCCUCCGAAGCUUCACCAUUUUGAGUCAUUUCCUUUCAACAACUUAAGCACCUAAAGCAAAGUUAUAGAUUUAGUAUGUUUGAUUGGUUAAUUUAUAUGUUCAAUAUGCAGAUUGGAUAAAAAGGGCUCCAAUUAUUGACUUUGAAAUCCAUCUUCAACAACAACAUGAAAACUUUAAUUGACUAUGAAAAUAAAACUUAAUUAAAGAAAAAGUAAAUUUUUUUUCAAGACGAAUAAAGUAUAGUCUAGACUUAUAAGGUUUCCGUCGUUUUAUUCGAGAUCUAGCAAUUAGUCUUAACCAUACAAAUAAAAAGAUAAACAUAAUUCGAGA
rnacentral:lncRNA from 1 species